rnacentral:tRNA from 1 species
AAUAAGAUUAAUAUACCUCUAGAUUACUCGUCCGAUGAUAAUAGUUAUUUAUUUAGUGUGUGUAGACCGGGUUAUAUGGUUAUAUUUAUGAUUAUAUUGAUUUAAUGGUAGAAUAAGUACUUGUGGCGUACUAAGUCCAGGUUCAAUCCCUGGGUAUAAUC